CCUUUCUAAGGAUGCAGAGAAGUACACCAGGUCCCCUGGAAAGGCUGCUGUGAAGCACAGGACAAGGACUCUGCCUCAGAGCAUCCCUGUGUACUUAAAUGUUCCAAGCUCCUGUGUAACUGGCUGUAUGAAUAUGAGUAAAUUGCUUCUUGAAAUAGGAAGUGCUGUUUCCUUUCAUCUGUUGAGGUGCAAUCCAAAGGCCAAAUCUCCACCCAUUCUGAACGUAACAUUCCUUUGGCUGUAUCUUAUAAAAGCUGAGGUUGUGCUGGAAGAGACCAAGGCACUCCUUCAGCCUCCUCAGAAACAUCUAGUCGGAAGGAUGAAGCUCCUGGCACUUUGUGGCUUUUUGUUUGUCUGUCUUCUGUGCCUCAGUGCCUUUGCUGCAGAAGGUCAGAAGGUUAGAAGACUCUGCUGCUCAAAAGUACACAAACUCAAGAAAAAAACACAUAGAGGUAUAAGUUUUCAAAUGACUCAAAUGGAAAAAAAGAAACACUGCAGGCCUUGUCCUCAGCAAAUCUCUUCAGUGAUUCCUGGUCCACUUCCACAGCUAAAAUGAGCAGACUGAGAGGAAGGUGAAAAACAUCUGCCUGUGCACGUACAACUGACAGUGCUUCACUAUCUUGAGGACCCUCCUUUCACAGAUAGGCCAUGAGUGUGCAUUGCUUUUUUUGUCAGUACUGUUUAUUCAUUCCUUCAGUCAGGCAACUUUGUUAGUAUUAACCUGGCAGAAAGAGUCAGGCAAAGUUGUCUGGCUGCCACCAGACUUUGUGUCAGAUGAAUAUUCCUCUGAACCAAGCAGGGAUUUGACUUCUCAAGUAAGAGAAUGAGGGGAGCUGGUUGAAGAGGUAGCUGAAUUGCACUGGUUUGCAUUUCUAAAUUGCCUAAAAGGUGGUGAAGGGCUGAAGCUUUUGUUUCUAGUCUCAGUGUACAUACAUAUUUAACAUUUUCUUUGAAUCAUUUAUUUUAUAUUAACAAAGGGGUUUGUUUGUAUGAUCAUCAAUCACUGAUGAUUUUUCCUGCAGCCCUUGUGUUCAGUGCUUGCAAUCCACUUGGAAGCAGAUUUCUACAAAUGAUAAAAAUCUCAUCUUUUAGAAAGGGCUGAGAAACUAGAUAAGCAGGUUGUAAAAAUAGUGGUGAUGGGCCAGAUUCAAGUAAACUUUUCAAUAUGCCUUCUAAGGGGGCUAAAUCUGACUUUAAAAUCACAGUGACCUGGUUUUUUAACUUCCUUAAGAGUGCCAUCAGGUGGUUAUUAAAGAGCAUACUGAAAAAAUAUUAAACCUAAUCAGAUUUCAUCUGUUCCUCUGAAGCCAGAAGGCAGCUGUUCUUUCAAGACAACGGAGUUGUGUGAUCACCUCAAUAAACAAAGCUUACUGGAGCAUGAAAUAAAUGCUAAGAAUAAUACCAAAGGGCUGAAUAACAGAGAAACUGAAGCACCUGCUGAUACUUUAGUCAUGUAUCUUCUGUCCUUUCUUCACUGUCCUCUGCAUUGCUGCUAUUUCUCUGCCUGGGGGAGAGUCCUUAAAACUGACUUACUUGGUUGUUCAUAAAUUCAGUUUUCCUUCUAGUGAAUAUGAGGAGGAGGAAUAGAAACCUUUUCUGCUGCUGGGCAAAUUGCAGACUGCAAAUAGUAAUUUUUUUGUCAGUACUAGUAGUACUACUCUUUCUCUUAACAUAAUUGUCAGUGUGAUAGAAAUGGUUUCAGUGCCCUUUACAAUUUGGGGGAGUUGAAUGGGAACAGUCAGAGGUCUGCUGUAACACACACACAGGCAAAUGCAAUUCCAAAAGGUCAAGUUUAUGGGCACUUACUCAGGGUCCUGCUCUUACUGAGAGUGUUUCUAUCAUACUGAGCAAUUGAACCUAUUUCUGGGUCUUCUAUGUGCUUGAUAUUACCUUAUUUUCAUAUUGGUUUUGAGAUUAGAUAGAUCUGACACUCAGCUUCCUAUUUUUGAAGGCCUGACCAUGCAUAGCAUUUUUUAUAUCAAAGAUAAAGGAACUGCCAGUCCUCCUUGCAAGACCUCUGAAUCAGGAGGUUGGUGAAGGAACUGCAUUUCAUUGUUUGCUUGCUGGUCAGGGGGCCAACAUAUUUUAUUUCUAUUGUUUUGUGGAGCUCACAGAAACAAUCUCUAACAUAUAAAUGACAAGUAAAUGGAAAAAGCAUUUUUGGUAUUUUUUGCAGCAGUGUUUUUCUCUGUAAAAUAUGGCUAUGUGUUUACAGCUCUGUAUAAAGCAUCACUAACAGGUUUGAAAAUUCUGUUCUCUAAUGUGAGUUUAAGCCCUAUUUUUAUAUCUGAAAAAAGCUCUGUGAUUUUCCUCUUUGCCUUACACCCUCCAAACCGCAUGCUCCAAACUCCCCAACCCUCCUUCAGGCAAAAUGCUCUCUCUGAUAACAAAAGCGUAAGCCCCAGAGACCAUUAACACAAUUAUUACAGAAAUACUCUGGAUCUCUGGAGAGAUCCCAGUACAUAAUUUAAUGCACUCAAGUAUUUUUACUCACUAAGUUUCCCAGACUGGCCUCAAUCCCUGCCUGGGCAGUUAAAGAUGCUACUUGUCUAAAGUCCUAGCCUUGGCUGAGCAGACUACAGCAAGAACCUCCAAAUUUCAACAUGGAUUGUGACUGCUGCCCAAAUGCUUUGUUGCUUCAUAUAGAAGAAUCAGAAUAUUGUGUGUCCACUUGAAAGUAAUUCCUCAGCAGAGUUUGGCUUAUAUACCAGGCCACUUCCCCAUGUGGAAGAACAGAGCUACCAUCUGAUCAUGGUUUUCCUUACAGGCAUCUGUUCUUCCUUUUGUUUUCCUUUCACUUCUACAUGUAUUUGUCUGGCAUUACUGGAAGAGAAACAUAUUUGCUCAGUGGCUUUUCAAAAUACACAAGCUGUAUGCUUAUAUAAAGUAGUAAAUUUAUCUUGUCCAAGCUGACAAAUGCAUUUUUUUGUAUCUUGAGGUUUGUGUGCAUUCGGCUGUCAAGCAAGAAAAUUGCACAGCCCUUAAGUUGCAAUAAAGAUGUUUCUGAAAUGUC